AGCGAACGCUGGCGGCAGGCUUAACACAUGCAAGUCGAGCGCCCCGCAAGGGGAGCGGCAGACGGGAGAGUAACACGUGGGAACAUACCUUUUGGUUCGGAACAACUGAGGGAAACUUCAGCUAAUACCGGAUAAGCCCUUACGGGGAAAGAUUUAUCGCCGAAAGAUUGGCCCGCGUCUGAUUAGCUAGUUGGUGAGGUAACGGCGCACCAAGGCGACGAUCAGUAGCUGGUCUGAGAGGAUGAUCAGCCUCACUGGGACUGAGACACGGCCCAGACUCCUACGGGAGGCAGCAGUGGGGAAUAUUGGACAAUGGGGGCAACCCUGAUCCAGCCAUGCCGCGUGAGUGAUGAAGGCCUUAGGGUUGUAAAGCUCUUUUGCCCGGGAAGAUAAUGACGGUACCGGGAGAAUAAGCCCCGGCUAACUUCGUG
rnacentral:rRNA from 1 species